AAUUUAGCAUCAUUGUAGGAUAAUCACGAGCACAAUUAGGAUCAAUUAGCAAACAUGUAUAUAAAAGCAAAUGCUUCGCUUGGGUUUGGCAUCGAAGCUGAGUAGCUAACCGGCGAAGGAGCAACCAGACCGUUGAACAUACGUGCAAUCCAUUUGAGUAAAGCAAGAACCUUCUUUUCCAAACUAGGAAUCAGAAUGAUAUUGGGUGCUGCGUGUAGUCUACUUUUACUUGCCAUUCUUGGACCCUGCGCUUCAGUUGGGAAGCCCGUGCUUAUAAAUGGCGAAGAGCUAGAAACACUCCAAGAAGACCCUGGCACCAGAAAAAUAGGUUUCGGUCAAGCACUUGGCUAUCAUUCCAACAAUAAAAUCAACACCAUUGAUGCCGCCAAUCAAGCAGCAAAGGACAAUUUUUUUUAAAGAUUUGAACAAAAUGUUCUCCAAGCACUUUGGAACUCAGGGUAAAAGGUCGGUGUCGAUACCCUCUUCUGAAACCCAGAAAGAUUACUCUAAAAAGUGGACCAAUGAGUUUGGAAAGCUUUUUGGCGGGCAGAAACUAACAGAGGGGGACUAUUCGUUGUUGGGGGCCGUCGAGAGGCAACAAGGUGACUCUAAAAGGCCAGACAGUAGACUACUGCAGCAAUUGAAUAAGGCCUAUGAAAAGUACUUUGGUAAAAAAGAGAGCAAGUUCCACAAACAGUGGACAGAGAAGUAUAACCGUUUCUUUGGAUGAGGAGUAAUUUAUACAAAAAGACCGUACUAACAUAAACAUUUUUUAGGCUUUGACAUUUCUUUGACUUUCUUGGGUUGUAAAUGAAGUGAAAUAAAAUGAUGAACAUUGAACUCGUUGACCAUGGAAUGUAUCAUUUGAAAUUCAUUUUAAGAAAAUAAAUGGAAGAUAAGGAAACCAAAGAGAAGAAAAGAGAAGAAAAGAGAAGAGUACAAAAGG